rnacentral:rRNA from 1 species
GGAAAAAGAGGAGUGGCGAACGGGUGAGUAACACGUGGGUAACCUGCCCAUCAGAAGGGGAUAACACUUGGAAACAGGUGCUAAUACCGUAUAACAAUCGAAACCGCAUGGUUUUGAUUUGAAAGGCGCUUUCGGGUGUCGCUGAUGGAUGGACCCGCGGUGCAGUAGCUAGUUGGUGAGGUAACGGCUCACCAAGGCCACGAUGCAUAGCCGACCUGAGAGGGUGAUCGGCCACAUUGGGACUGAGACACGGCCCAAACUCCUACGGGAGGCAGCAGUAGGGAAUCUUCGGCAAUGGACGGAAGUCUGACCGAGCAACGCCGCGUGAGUGAAGAAGGUUUUCGGAUCGUAAAACUCUGUUGUUAGAGAAGAACAAGGAUGAGAGUAACUGUUCAUCCCUUGACGGUAUCUAACCAGAAAGCCACGGCUAACUACGUGCCAGCAGCCGCGGUAAUACGUAGGUGGCAAGCGUUGUCCGGAUUUAUUGGGCGUAAAGCGAGCGCAGGCGGUUUCUUAAGUCUGAUGUGAAAGCCCCCGGCUCAACCGGGGAGGGUCAUUGGAAACUGGGAGACUUGAGUGCAGAAGAGGAGAGUGGAAUUCCAUGUGUAGCGGUGAAAUGCGUAGAUAUAUGGAGGAACACCAGCGGCGAAGGCGGCUCUCUGGUCUGUAACUGACGCUGAGGCU